rnacentral:other from 1 species
UGAAGACUGCGCUGUCCGCCGGCACACUUCGUAAUUGGAACCUACAAGUGCAGACAAGGGAAUCCGAUGGGCGUGCGGCCGGCAGGCCGGAAUUGAUGCGGAUGAUCCGGAAGCCGAAGGCCGUCCUCAGGACAACCACCGUAGUGGUUGGGUUCUCAUAGUCGAAAUGCAGCGGCAGUGCGGUCGUGCC